GACGAACGCUGGCGGCGUGCUUAACACAUGCAAGUCGAACGGAAAGGCCCUGCUUUCGUGGGGUGCUCGAGUGGCGAACGGGUGAGUAACACGUGUGUAACCUGCCCUUCACUUUGGGAUAACUUCAGGAAACUGGGUCUAAUACCGGAUAGGAGCUCCUGCUGCAUGGUGGGGGUUGGAAAGUUUCGGCGGUUGGGGAUGGACUCGCGGCUUAUCAGCUUGUUGGUGGGGUAGUGGCUUACCAAGGCUUUGACGGGUAGCCGGCCUGAGAGGGUGACCGGCCACAUUGGGACUGAGAUACGGCCCAGACUCCUACGGGAGGCAGCAGUGGGGAAUAUUGCACAAUGGGCGGAAGCCUGAUGCAGCAACGCCGCGUGCGGGAUGACGGCCUUCGGGUUGUAAACCGCUUUCGCCUGUGACGAAGCGAGAGUGACGGUAAUGGGUAAAGAAGCACCGGCUAACUACGUG
rnacentral:rRNA from 1 species